GUUGCCUCAUUGUUGAUGUUUGAAGGCGAGGUUUCACUCAGAGGCUCAGGCUGGAGUGCAGAAAAUCUGUUUUUCAGUGGGAUUCCCACAGAGUCAGAAUGUCUUGAGGCCCGGGCGGGUCGCUCUGUCCUUGGGAGCGGGGUCGGUAGAACCGUUUUGGUUGCAGCUGCUUGUUUGUUUUCUUUUGUUUUAGCAGGUAUUGAGGUUGAAGGUGGGUUUCGGCUCAGAGCCGGCCACGCUGAUUCGUCCAGGUGAGGGAUUUCUCCCUGUUAGUUGUCUCCACGGAUCUGCAGUGUGAGACUUUUGCUUCGGCUUGGCACCCAGAGCGUUCCAGGGUGAGCUGCUUGAUG